rnacentral:pre_miRNA from 1 species
UCUUACAGAUGAGCAAAGAAAGUGGUCUCUUGAGAUGGAAUCUACUCCUGGUGAAGAUGCUGUAAA